AUACGGAGGAUCCGAGCGUUAUCCGGAUUUAUUGGGUUUAAAGGGUGCGCAGGCGGCCAUUUAAGUCAGCGGUUAAAUCGUGGGGCUCAACCCCAUUCUGCCGUUGAUACUGGGUGGCUUGAUUGCGGUCGAGGUUGGCGGAAUUCGUUGUGUAGCGGUGAAAUGCAUAGAUAUGACGAAGAACACCGAUUGCGUAGGCAGCUGACCAGACCGCAAAUGACGCUCAUGCACGAAAGUGCGGGGAUCGAACAGGAUUAGAUGCCCUGAUAGUCCGCACAGGAAACGAUGAAUACUUGUUUUCGGCGAUAUAAUGUCGGAGGCAAAGCGAAAGCGAUAAGUAUUCCACCUGGGGAGUACGCCGGCACCGGUGAAACUCAAAGGAAUUGACGGGG
rnacentral:rRNA from 1 species